GGAUUGCAGGCUGCAACUCGCCUGUAUGAAGUCGGAAUUGCUAGUAAUCGCGGAUCAGCAUGCCGCGGUGAAUACGUUCCCGGGCCUUGUACACACCGCCCGUCACACCAUGAGAGUCGGGAACACCCGAAGUCCGUAGUCUAACCGCAAGGAGGGCGCGGCCGAAGGUGGGCUUGAUAAUUGGGGUGAAGUCGUAACAAGGUAUC
rnacentral:rRNA from 1 species